rnacentral:tRNA from 1 species
GCCGCCGUAGCUCAGUUGGUAGAGCGACGCUUUCGUAAAGCGUAGGUCGUCGGUUCGAAUCCGACCGGUGGCU